UAUGGCGGUCCGUGCCGCGUUCGAUCCGCUCGCUCAUUUUUCACGAUUAUUAUCGCUUAGAAACGGAGUUCACGCGUGACAAGUGAUUGGAAGUGUCUCUUCACUCGUUGCUCGUCGUGAAAUGAACGUCGCAUGCGAUCGUCAUCGCGUGAUAAUAUCGUAAUUUCCGUUCGCUCCCGUUCGUGACCUUUGUGCUCUUGGCGAUCUGACGAUCGACUGCAUCCGAAGACAACCCGAAAUUUCAACUCGUCGCUCGUGUCACGCUACUUCUUCGCGCCGACGCAUCGGAAAUGCAACUCGUACGCGAAUUCAUCGUCAGAUACGUGGAUGUGUACAUUCUCAUUUCGCAACUGCAUCGAUUGCGAUUUUGCUAUCUUCUAUCUCGGCCAUAUUGUCUACUUGCCGCAAUACCCGAAAUUUUACGCUCCCCGCGAUUAUGAUGGGCCCACUCGAUAAUAGAAGAAGGCGUCCAUUCGGCGAUAUCUUCUUGCAGGACACCCUGGGACCCCCGACGCCGUGGGAGCCAUGGGAGCAUCGGACGUCGAAGCGGGAUGCUGAAAAAUUGGAGGAUUAGCUGUUUAAAACGGAAGAAAGUGCUACAUUACGCGUAUUACUAUAGCAUGAUAGUUUUGACGAGUGAAUAUAAUAGAGAUAUCAACAUUUAAAAGAAAUUUUACUAUAUAAUUAGUACUUUCAGGACAAUGUCGCGUUUAUACAAUAUCUAAAAUCGAAAAAUUUUGAUAAAUUUUGUGAUAAAUUUCAACGAUAAUGUCACCAAACUUCAAAAAUAUCUCUUUAGUUGACAGACAUAAUACUGAUAAAUUUCUAUUCUUAGAAAUUUUCAUGAAUAAUAUUGUAUAAUAAAGGCAUGUUGACACAAUAUAGGUCACUCGCCAAAAUUAUCAAAAUGACAGCUAUUUAUUAUGCAAUAAAAAAAAGUGCAGUUUUAAAUGCAGUGCGAUUGUGAUUUUAAUUAAUCAUAAUUUCGCGAGUGCCAAGAGUGUUAUAUUUUUAUGAGUGCAUCAAGAAAGCUGCAUUUUCGUGAGUAAAUGAGUGAAGUGAAUAAAGUGGUGUCGGAAGUGUCGUUUCUAUCGCGCGAAUUAAUUCUGUCUUUGCAAAUGAAUGGAUACCAUGCCAAGGAGCAGCCAUCGAUAGACGACUGAGAGGAGGAGGAGGCCCAAGAAGGGAUCGGCCGCACAAC